AGUGAACGCUGGCGGUAGGCCUAACACAUGCAAGUCGAACGGCAGCACAGGAGAGCUUGCUCUCUGGGUGGCGAGUGGCGGUCGGGUGAGGAAUACAUCGGAAUCUACUCUGUCGUGGGGGAUAACGUAGGGAAACUUACGCUAAUACCGCAUACGACCUACGGGUGAAAGCAGGGGACCUUCGGGCCUUGCGCGAUUGAAUGAGCCGAUGUCGGAUUAGCUAGUUGGCGGGGUAAAGGCCCACCAAGGCGACGAUCCGUAGCUGGUCUGAGAGGAGGAUCAGCCACAGUGGAACUGAGACACGGUCCAGACUCCUACGGGAGGCAGCAGUGGGGAAUAUUGGACAAUGGGCGCAAGCCUGAUCCAGCCAUACCGCGUGGGUGAAGAAGGCCUUCGGGUUGUAAAGCCCUUUUGUUGGGAAAGAAAUCCAGCUGGCUAAUACCCGGUUGGGAUGACGGUACCCAAAGAAUAAGCACCGGCUAACUUCGUGCCAGCCGCCGCGGUAA
rnacentral:rRNA from 1 species